rnacentral:rRNA from 1 species
AUUGAACGCUGGCGGCAUGCCUUACACAUGCAAGUCGAACGGCAGCACGGGAGCAAUCCUGGUGGCGAGUGGCGAACGGGUGAGUAAUAUAUCGGAACGUGCCCAGUCGUGGGGAUAACGUAGCGAAAGCUACGCUAAUACCGCAUACGAUCUAUGGAUGAAAGCGGGGGAUCGCAAGACCUCGCGCGAUUGGAGCGGCCGAUAUCAGAUUAGGUAGUUGGUGAGGUAAAGGCUCACCAAGCCGACGAUCUGUAGCUGGUCUGAGAGGACGACCAGCCACACUGGGACUGAGACACGGCCCAGACUCCUACGGGAGCGAGCAGUGGGGAAUUUUGGGACAAUGGGCGCAAGCCUGAUCCAGCAAUGCCGCGUGC